rnacentral:rRNA from 1 species
UACGGGGGGGGUAAGCGUUGUUCGGAUUUACUGGGCGUAAAGGGCGCGUAGGCGGCGUGUUAAGUCAGCUGUGAAAUCUCCAAGCUUAACUUGGAACGGUCAGCUGAUACUGAUGUGCUAGAGUGCAGAAGGGGCAAUCGGAAUUCUUGGUGUAGCGGUGAAAUGCGUAGAUAUCAAGAGGAACACCUGAGGUGAAGACGGGUUGCUGGGCUGACACUGACGCUGAGGCGCGAAAGCUAGGGUAGCAAACGGG